CAGUCGCCACGGUAAUACGUAGGGUGCGAGCGUUAAUCGGAAUUACUGGGCGUAAAGCGUGCGCAGGCGGUUGUGUAAGACAGGUGUGAAAUCCCCGGGCUUAACCUGGGAACUGCAUUUGUGACUGGCAGGCUAGAGUAUGGCAGAGGGGGGCGGAAUUCCGCGUGUAGCAGUGAAAUGCGUAGAUAUGCGGAGGAACACCGAUGGCGAAGGCAGCCCCCUGGGCCAAUACUGACGCUCAUGCACGAAAGCGUGGGGAGCAAACAGGAUUAGAUACCCGCGUAGUCCCUGUCUCUUAUAC
rnacentral:rRNA from 1 species